rnacentral:rRNA from 1 species
UACGUAGGGGGCAAGCGUUGCCCGGAAUCAUUGGGCGUAAAGAGCGUGUAGGCGGCCAGAUAAGUCCGCUGUGAAAUCUCGAGGCUCAACUUCGAGCUGUCGGUGGAAACUGUCUGGCUAGAGUCCGGAAGAGGAGAGUGGAAUUCCUGGUGUAGCGGUGAAAUGCGCAGAUAUCAGGAGGAACACCCGUGGCGAAAGCGGCUCUCUGGGACGGUACUGACGCUGAGACGCGAAAGCGUGGGGAGCAAACAGG